AACAAACGCUGGCGGCGUGCCUAAUACAUGCAAGUCAAACGGGUAGCAAUACUAGUGGCGCACGGGUGAGGAAUACAUGGGUAAUCUGCCCUCGAGUUGGGGAUAACCAGUCGAAAGAUUGGCUAAUACCGAAUAAGACCACGAGAACUGAGGUUCUUGAGGUUAAAGGUUUUUCGCUUGAGGAUGAGCCCAUGUGGGAUUAGCUAGUUGGUAAGGUAAUGGCUCACCAAGGCGACGAUCCCUAGCUGGUCUUAGAGGAUGAUCAGCCACACUGGAACUGAGACACGGUCCAGACUCCUACGGGAGGCAGCAGUAGGGAAUAUUGCACAAUGGGGGAAACCCUGAUGCAGCGACGCCGCGUGAGUGAUGAAGGCCUUCGGGUCGUAAAGCUCUGUCGUAUGGGAAUAACAUAAUGAAUGUACCAUGCAAGAAAGGAUCGGCUAACUUCGUGCCAGCCGCCGCUGUAAGA
rnacentral:rRNA from 1 species